rnacentral:rRNA from 1 species
CCAUGGGCAUGUCCGUGAAUGUAAAGUCCACUGGGAAUGUGGCAGCGCUUCGGCGUUCUUUGGGUCAGAGAGGGUGAAAACCCCGUUUACAUUCAUUGUGGGGCGUGUCUGUUGUGUGGGCGUGUUGAAGAGUCGGAUUGUUUGGGAAUGCAAUCCAAAACGGGAGGUAAAUUCCAUCCUAGACUAAAUAUUAU